ACGUGAUAAAACAUUUUUAUAUAUUAUUUGCGCACCGCUCGGCGAACGGUCCGGCUGUCCACGUCGUCGUAAAAAAUUUUCACCGUUAGAUCUUGAAUUUACGGCAGCAGUUCACUGUCGUACGUGCCUUUCGAGUAAAAAAAAUCUUGCGGCUCGAACCUUCUCAUCUUCUCUCCUAUCUCUACCGACCAGCCACCAUUCGGUGCUCCAUAUUUGGCCUCCGCUCCUCCAAUCCGAGUCCCAGGUCGCUCCAGCCAUCAUUGAACCUCUGCUCGAUCCAUGGUGGCACGCUCGCAACCAACACACGGACAACCCCGUUCCUUCCCGCUUGAGCGCCGCAGCCGCUACCCAGCUCGCUCAUACACCGUACCAUGCUCGGCGCCGCCCCGGCCCCGGCCCCGACCCCUCUCCUCUUCUCGAGUCGGAGCUCGAGGCGGCGGCAGCAAACCCGGAGCCAAAGCCGGAUCCCGCCGUCGGGAAGCGCAGGGAGGUCAACCUGGCGCUGGCGAUGGGGGGGAUAAGGAGAAGUGGGAGGUCAUAGAGGAUGGGGGCGAUGGCAAGGGAAAAGAGGUCAAGGGGAAGGCUGAGAGAGGUCUGAGGAGGACAGCAGUACGAAGGUGUAGAUGGGGAUGCAGCCUGCAGGUCGGCGACAUGCCCCUAACGCUGCAGCGUCGUGCCGCCCAGCUCGCCGAGGCCAUCACCGCCGUGCCGCGCCUCGACGGGGAAACGGACCAAUCCAUCCGUCCAAGCCCAAUCGACGGUGAGGCAGCCACCAUCCACCAAUGGGGCCCUGAGCGACGUGUCCGAGAAGCAGCUGCAGCAGGAGGCGAAGAGCGGCCACCGUGCCAGCCGCUUCGGAGUCUGCGCGGAGGUCCACGUCCUCUGCUGCGCUGGUUCCACUCCUCUUCCUCACUCGAUUGUGGUCCUCCCCCGUGCUCCCAAUGCGACACGAUCGGUCCGCGGCUGAGCUCUUUGGCGCUUCUGCAGCCGACUUCACUGCUAGCGACGCCGGCAACGAGCAGGUGCCCACUCCGGCAGAGACUAGGCCGCUGGACGGCUGGAGGUCGUGUUGUUCCAGAUUGUCUGAGUAAUAUCCUACUAUCAUGUGCUCUGCCCAUACCAGCCCACCUCUGCACGUUUGGGCGGGCGUCGUCUGGAACAUGCCAAUUCUGUUGUGGGCUUAUGCGUAGAUACCUCUGAGGAAGAUGGCUGCCUCUUACAGGGAGGAAACUGCGAGUUCCAUUGAGGGUAUAUUAUUAGUGGGCAUACCUUACUAAAGCUUGUCUCAUUCUUUGAGCUAGACAGACACAGGGGUUUGGUACAAAGAAGACUGUUUUCCAAUGAAUUCAAGGUCAGAUGGAGUACUUCAAUGACCUAUAUCGGCAUGCAUCUUAUUUAUCAGGACACUAAGUACCUGACAUAUUUUGACAGUCAGGUAGGGAACCAACUUAUCAGUGCAUAAAACAACCUUGCCAUGAAGAAUCAAAGAACAGCAAGAACUAUGAAUUUCUAAUAUGUCUUUGUAAGAUUGUAGCUGUGGCCAUCAACACUGAAGAAGAGGUCCCAAUUGGUCAUUAAGUGCUACGCCAACGUCGCCGGCGACAACCAAAUCCAGCAUCCAUUUCUUAUACACACACUUAUUACACGCAAAAGCUAUUAAACUUCGCUUACCUCAUAAAAAACAACACGAGGGCGCGCCAAGGCGCGCGCAAAGUAAGUACUCGUAGAUACAUGAUAAGGGCUAGGUGGAAAGAUUCAUUUGACACUAUAAAUAGUGCAUGCAGAAUUAUCAUAGAUUAGGAAUAAGAAAAUAAAUUUGGACUCGUGGGCAUGUAUUGAAUAUAUCUGGAGGAUUGUCGGUAAAAAGAAUAAGGCACAAACUGAAGAAAAAAA